GACGAACGCUGGCGGCGUGCCUAACACAUGCAAGUCGAGCGAUGAAGCUCCUUCGGGAGUGGAUUAGCGGCGGACGGGUGAGUAACACGUGGGUAACCUGCCUCAUAGAGGGGAAUAGCCUCCCGAAAGGGAGAUUAAUACCGCAUAAUGUAUGAGAAUCGCAUGAUUUUUGUACCAAAGGAGCAAUCCGCUAUGAGAUGGACCCGCGGCGCAUUAGCUAGUUGGUGAGGUAAAGGCUCACCAAGGCGACGAUGCGUAGCCGACCUGAGAGGGUGAUCGGCCACAUUGGAACUGAGAUACGGUCCAGACUCCUACGGGAGGCAGCAGUGGGGAAUAUUGCGCAAUGGGGGAAACCCUGACGCAGCAACGCCGCGUGAGCGAUGAAGGUCUUCGGAUCGUAAAGCUCUGUCUUUUGGGACGAUAAUGACGGUACCAAAAGAGGAAGCCACGGCUAACUACGUGCCAGCAGCCGCGGUAAUACGUAGGUGGCGAGCGUUGUCCGGAAUUACUGGGCGUAAAGGGUGCGUAGGCGGAUAUUUAAGUCAGAUGUGAAAUACCCAGGCUUAACUUGGGAGUUGCAUUUGAAACUGGAUAUCUAGAGUGCAGGAGAGGAAAGCGGAAUUCCUAGUGUAGCGGUGAAAUGCGUAGAGAUUAGGAAGAACACCAGUGGCGAAGGCGGCUUUCUGGACUGUAACUGACGCUGAGGCACGAAAGCGUGGGUAGCAAACAGGAUUAGAUACCCUGGUAGUCCACGCUGUAAACGAUGAAUACUAGGUGUAGGAGGUGUCAUGCCUUCUGUGCCGCAGUUAACACAAUAAGUAUUCCGCCUGGGGAGUACGGUCGCAAGAUUAA
rnacentral:rRNA from 1 species